CUCUGAAAACCCCGCUUGUUAACUGAUGUCUGCUUUGACUGCUUAGAAACAUGCUUAGGGUUAUAUCUGUUAGAUGUGCAUGAUUAGGGAUGGCCAGAAACUUAGUCAUGCAAUGAUAGGUUAGGACCUCAUAUCUGCUCGUCUGCUUUGGAUUUUCGCCUUUAAUUUCUGCCAUAUGAUAGUACUAGAACUGUUGUGGUUGAUGUCAAUGUAGAAUUGCUGCUGGAUGCAGGAUCCAGCCUAUAUUAUCCAUCCGGGGCAAUCUCGUUUGCCUUGCAUGUUUUGAAAUCAACCUGCAUAUUCACCAAUUUUUGCAUCAGAAGCAUGUUUCACAAACCCUUUUCCAAUCAAGAUUUAUUUUCUGCAAGCAAAAUAUGUAGGUUAAAAAUUGUAACACAAAGAUUUUGAGAUCUACAAGUAAAACAUGCAAGAGAAAUUUAAAAAAUAAUAAUAAUAAAAAACAAAAUGUUUUUGGAUUUUUCAAAUAUUCACUUUUUUCGUUAAGAGUCACGGUCGAGGUGACAGGAUCCAACCAAACAGACCCGAGGUCGGCGCAAACGGAAAGAGUUUGACAUGGUCCUAGUUGAGGUGAUUGAAUACAAUUAGACAGACCCAGUUCAACUAAAUGAGGUCGGUAUAACAAUUGAACGGGAUCGGUCCAACAAUCGAACGGGGUUGACGCAAAUGGAAAGAGUUUGACGUGGUCCUAAUCAAGGUGAUCGAAUACAGCCAAACAAACACGGUCUAAUUGAACAAGGUUGGUCUAACAAUCGAAUGGGGUUGGUCCAACGAAUGAUAGUCAAGGCGAUUGGAUGCAGCCAGACAGACUUGAUCAAAAUGAACGGGGUUAUAACAACCGAACAGGACUGGUUUAACAACCACAUAGGGUCGGUCCAACAAUCGAACGUGGUUGGUUGUGGUUGGUUUAACAAUUGAAUGGGGUUCGUUUAACAACGUAACAAGGUCAGUCCAACAACCGAAUAGGUUCGUUCCAACAAUCGAACAGAGUCCAACCUACAUAAACGGAAAGAGGUUAACCUGGUCCCAGUCGAGGCGAUCGGACAUAGCGAAGCAGACUUGAUCUAACAAUUGAACGAGGUGAUCCAACAAUCGAACAGGGUUAGUCCACAAUCGAAUGAAGUUGGUCUACAUUGAACAAGGCUAGUCCAACAAUUGAAUGGAGUUGGCUUAACAACCGAACAGGGUUGGCUUAACAACUGAACAGGGCUUUAAUUGCAAAAAGGCUACCCUUGCCCCAGCCAAGGCGAUCUAAUAUAGCCAAACAAAUCUAGUCUAACAAUUGAAAGGGGGUCGGUUCAAUAACCGAACAAGGUAGAUCCAAUAAUUGAAGGAGGUUGGUCCAACAAUCGAAUUGGACCAAAUGAUUGAACGGGGCCUGUGCAAACCGAAAGAGGCUAACUUGGUCCCAGUUGAGGCGGUCGAAUACAACCAAGCAGACUCGGGGUCGGCAUAAGUAGAAAGAGUUAGAUGUGGUCCCAGUUGAGGUGAUUUGAUACAGCUAGACAAAUCUAGUUCAACUGAACGAGGUCGGUAUAACAACUGAACGAGGUUGGUCCAACAAUCGAACGGGGCUAGUCUAACAACUAAAUGGGGAUUGAUCAAACGAAAACAGUUUAACGCGAUCCUAGUCGAGGCGAUCGGAUAUAGCCAGACAGACUAGGUCAAAUUGAAUGGGGUCGGUUUAACAACUGAACAGGGUUGGUUUAACAACCAAACUCAGUCGGUCAAACAAUUGAAUGUGGUUGGUCUAACAAUCUAACGGGGUCGAUUCAUCAAUUGAACAAGGUCGGUCCAACAACUGAACGAAUCUGGUCCAACAAUUGAACAGGGUCGGUUUAACAACCCAAUGAGGUCGAUCCAACAAUCGAAUGAGGUUCCAACAACCAAAUAGAGCUGGUUCAACAAUCGAAUAGAAUUAAACCUGCGCAAACAAAAAGAGCCUAACCUAGUCCCAAUUGAGGCGAUCGGACACAGUAAAGCAAACUUGAUCUAACAAUUGAACGGGGUCGGUCCAAUAACCGAACAAGGUCGGUCCAAUAAUCGAACAGGGUCGGUCCACAAUUGAACAAGGUUGAUCCACAAUUGAACAGGGCUGGUUUAACAAUCGAAAUGAGUUGGCUUGCUAAACGAACGAGGUUGGCCCAAUAACUAAACGGGUCAUGCACAAACAUAAAGAGGUUGCUACGCUUGUCCUAACCAAGGUGAUCGGAUACAGCCAAACAAACCUAGUCCAACAAUCGAACAAGGGUUGGUUCAACAAUCGAACAAGGUCAGUCCAUAAUCAAAUAGGGUUGGUCUAAUAAUCGAACGAGGUUGGUCUAACAACUGAACGGGGCCGGUCCAACAACCCAACGGGGUUAACUUAACAACCAAAUGGGGUUGGCCCAACAACUGAACGGGGUCUGCGCAAACGCAAAGAGGCUACCCUUGUCCCAGCCAAAGCGAUUAGAUAUAGCCAAAUAGACCCGAUCUAACAAUCGAAUGGGGGUCGAUCCAACAACUAAACAAGGUCGGUCCAAUAAUCGAACGGGGUUAGUCCAACAACUGAACAGAGCCAGUUCAACAAUCGUACCGGUUUGGCCCAACAAUUAAAUGAGGCCUGCACAAACCGAAAUAGGCUAACUUGGUCCUAGCUGAGGCAAUCGGAUACAACCAAACAAACCCAGGGUCGGCGCAAAUGAAAAAAGCUUGACGUGGUCCUAGUUGAAGCGAUUGGAUAUAGCUAGACAGACCUAGUUCAACUGAACGAGGCCGAUAUAAUAACUAAAUGGGGUCGAUCCAACAAUCAAACGGGGUAGACGCAAACUGAAAGAGUUUGACGUGGUCCCAGUUAAGGCGAUCGGAUACUGCCAAACAAGCCCCGUCUAAUUAAACGAGGUCGGUUUAACAAUCGAACGAAGUUGGUCUAACAAUUGAAUGAGGGUUCAUGCAAACGGAAAGAGUUUAACGCAAUCUCAGCCAAGGUGAUCGGACAUAACCAGACAUACUUAGUCAAACUGAACGGGGUCAGUCUGACAACCGAACAAGGCUAGUCUAACAAUCAAACAGGGUUGGUCCAACAAUCAAACGUGGUUGGUCCAAUAGUCGAACAUGACCGAUCCGACAAUCAAAUGGAGUCGAUCCAACAACUGAACAAGGUUGGUGAGACAAUCGAACAGGGUUGGUCUAACAACCCAACAAGGUUGGUUUAAUAACCCAACGAGGUCAGUCCAACAACCGAACAAGGUCGUUCUAACAACCUAAUGAGGCUGGUCCAACAACCAAAUAGAGUUCAACCUGCGUAAACGAAAAGAGGCUAACCUGGUCCCAAUUAAGGCAAUUGGACACAGCGAAGCAGACCCGAUCUAACAAUUGAACGGGGUCGAUCCAACAACCGAAUCUAACAACCAAACAGGGUUGGCUCAACAACUAAACGGAGCAUGCGCAAACACAAAAAGGCUACCCUUGUCCCAGGCGAGGUGAUCAGAUACAACUAAACAUUCCUGGUCUAACAUUCGAACGGGGUAGGUCCACAAUUGAACGUGGCUGGUUCAACAAUUAAACAAGGUUGGACUAAUCAGACUUGGUCUAACCCAACUAGCUCUAGCCAGCCUAAUCGUGGUUCGACCCAGCCCAACAGGGUUCGGCCAAACCCAAUCGGGUUUCAACCAAACCCAAUGGUCUUCGGCCCAAACCCAACAACAUCCGGCCCCAACGAAACCGAGUCCGGUCCAAUGGAAUUGGCUUUAGGGUUUUAGGGUUUCUUUCCACAAUUUUUUUGAGUACAACCUACUUAAAAAAAAUUGUUCAACGAGACGUUUGUUUGUAGAGUUUCCUUCCAAAUAAUGAGGAAGUUUGGAAGAUAUAUUUUAGUUCUACUCGUUAUGUGUGGAAAAUCAUAUUGAUUGAUGUAGCAAUAUAAACUUUAUUAAGAAAACCUCCUACAUAACAAUUGUUGAAUUAGUCCAGUUUUCGUAACUUUCCAAAACAAAAAUAAGUGUGGUUGGUUGUGAAUCCUAGAACGUCGUUGUGCUUGAUUUUUUCAAAAUGGAGUUUUCCUAUUUUAUCAACUUUAAUAAAAUUUAUUAAUUUCGUAUGUCUACUCUAUUUUUAAUUUGAUUUAAUCAUGAUAUGUGUAUACCAUAAACUAGGGGUGGGUUCAAAAAACCGAAAACCGAAAAAAAAACCGAAAACCAAACCGAACCGAGGCCGAAAAAAACCGAACCGAAACUACCAAACCGAACCGAAUUUGGUUGGUUCGGUUUCGGUUUUUGAGGUUUGGAAACCGAACCGAAUUGAACCGAACCGAAAAAAAAAAUCAUAUAUAAAUACUAAAAAAUACAUGUUGCCGUCUGGGUUUGAACCCUUUCCCUACAGGUUGGGUUGGUUGUUGCAAGCCAACUUGACUGUAGGCUUUGUGUUGUUAUAAUUGUACCAGUAAUUUAUUUAUAGGUUUCUUAUGUUUAAUAAAAUUUCUUAACUUUACAAACCCUAGCUGUCUCACUCCCAUUUCAUUUCAGAUCUCAAACACCUCUCUGUUCCGUCUGCUGCUUCCUCUUUGCCUUUGCUUCCUCUCUUUCUCUCUCUCUCUCCCUCCCUCUCUCUCUCCUUCCUCUCUUCCUCCAAAUCACUCCCUGUCCUCCUCGCGGAUUCCUUCUUCCAAACCAUGAUUUUCCCUCGCCCUUUUCUAGAUCCGACAAAAAGAGGAAUUGAAAGAGCUUGCGACGAUCAUGGCUAUAUCGCUGCAACAAAGAUCUAUUGUGGACUUGACUAUGAAUUUGAAUGUGGGCACUGGGCACGCGUAAGUCCGAUUAUGGUAUUUAGAAGAACCCAAUUGCUUUUUUUUUUUUCAAUUUGCAUCGAUCAGUUAAUUUGUUGAGUUAUUUCAUGAUUUUGUAAAUUUUAAAGUUUUUGAAUUUUGAAUCCUGGCGAUGUACAUUUCCUUGAAGAAUAUAUGUUUAUGUAUUUGCUUAACUUUUGAAAAUUUGAAUUCGUUCUGCUUGAUCACAAGUAGUUGAAUUACUUGAAUAUAUUCAGGAUUUUGAGGCUCUCAAUUCUCUGAUAUAUGAGAACUGAGAGGUUGAUAGGUAGGUUCCUUCCAUUUACAUCAUUUAAAAAUAAAAAUAAAAAACCGAAAAAAACCGAAACCGAACCGGAAAAAACCGAAACCGAAAAAAACCGAACCGAAAAAAAAAUGAA